AGUGACCAGAAGACAGGAGUGUGAGCCUCUGUCACGCCCGGGCAGGGCCACCAGAGGGCUCCUUGGUCUAGCGGUAA
rnacentral:miRNA from 10 species